rnacentral:pre_miRNA from 1 species
AUAGACCUUACAUUCUACUUUAUAUACAUACAUACAUGUAUGUAUAUAAAGUAGAAUGUAAGGUCUAU